rnacentral:rRNA from 1 species
CGAAACCGAUAGCGAACAAGUACCGUGAGGGAAAGUUGAAAAGUACUCUGAAUAGAGAGUUAAAUAGUACGUGAAACCGCUUAGGGGUUAAGCCCGAUGAACCCGAAUAUCUGAUGUGAGAAAUUCAAUACGAUUCAAAUUCAUAUUUUUAUAUUGGAUUUGUAUAGUAUGCACUUUUCUCAUAGUAAGACAUUGUAAUCCAUUGAUAUUAUAUCUCAUAUGAGAUGAUUUAACAUACGGACAAAAUGUUUAUGAUUAUUCUAUCAGUGAUAUGUUUACAUGUCAUAUGAAUAAAAUCGUUUUGUUUCCUGUUUAAAUAGUCGAUGGAUUUUUCAUUGAAAUCAUGCUUGCAAUUUAUUUUGCGUUUCGUAUCAUUAAUUUUUAAUUGUUGAUAGCAGAAAUGGCAUGUAUUCGAUUAACAAUGCGAUAGAUUUGGGAUACUUUCAGGACCCGUCUUGA